rnacentral:rRNA from 1 species
AGUGGUACAUAUGUGACAAUUGAGGAUGCUUUACUAUAUCCCGAUUCUGCACGUACCCUGAUCAGUUAUCGAGAUAUCCGUAAAAAUGGUUUUCAUAUUGAAACCCAUGAAGACAACAAAGAGGAGUAUCUACUCUUUACUAAAGAUGACGGAUAUGGCAAAAAGGUACAUGAGAAAAUUCCUUCUCUAUCGUCUGGUUUGUGCUAUACGUACAUCAAACCCGUGGAACAUGUUGCAUACAAAGUAAUUUUUCAGAAUGUUAACGCAUUCCAAACCUGGCAUGAUCGCCUAGGCCAUCCUGGAAUAGGGAUGAUGAGAAAAAUUACUAGCAAUUCCAUUGGUCAUAAUUUGCUUGAGUCAAAAUUUCCUCAAUCUUCUGAUUUUGUGUGCACAUCUUGUGCCACGGGAAAGCUAAUUUUGAGGCCCUCACACCUCAAAAUACAAGCUGAACCACUUCAGUUCCUUGAACGUAUUCAAGGAGACAUUUGUGGUCCCAUUCAGCCAUUAUCUGGACCUUUCCGCUUUGUUGACGAAUUGCAACUUGCCAACCUCUUGUUGGGGUCACGCUGUUUUACACGCUGCUGA